GGCUGGUGUGAAGGUUGUGAGUUAUCUCGGUUGAUUGAUCACAGUCAGUUACAGAUCAAACUCUUGGUUCUGCUCUGUCACCCCUUCUCAAUACUGUAGUUGGCUAGUCUUAA
ensembl:misc_RNA Y_RNA Y RNA